GGAGGAAAGCAGGGGAUCGCAAGACCUUGCGCUUUUAGAGCGGCCGAUGCCUGAUUAGCUUGUUGGUGAGGUAAAAGCUCACCAAGGCUUCGAUCAGUAGCUGGUCUGAGAGGACGACCAGCCACACUGGGACUGAGACACGGCCCAGACUCCUACGGGAGGCAGCAGUGGGGAAUUUUGGACAAUGGGGGCAACCCUGAUCCAGCCAUGCCGCGUAAGUGAAGAAGGCCUUCGGGUUGUAAAGCUCUUUCAGCCGGAACGGAACGGUCACGGCUAAUACCUGUGACUACUGACGGUACCGGAAGAAGAAGCACCGGCUAACUACGUGCCAGCAGCCGCGGUAAUACGUAGGGUGCGAGCGUUAAUCGGAAUUACUGGGCGUAAAGCGUGCGCAGGUGGUUUUGUAAGUCAGAUGUGAAAUCCCCGGGCUUAACCUGGGAACUGCGUUUGAAACUACAAGGCUA
rnacentral:rRNA from 1 species